UACGGAGGGAGCUAGCGUUGUUCGGAAUUACUGGGCGUAAAGCGCGCGUAGGCGGCUUUGUAAGUUAGAGGUGAAAGCCCGGGGCUCAACUCCGGAACUGCCUUUAAGACUGCAUCGCUUGAAUCCGGGAGAGGUGAGUGGAAUUCCGAGUGUAGAGGUGAAAUUCGUAGAUAUUCGGAAGAACACCAGUGGCGAAAGGCGGCUCACUGGGACCGGU
rnacentral:rRNA from 1 species